ensembl:snoRNA SNORD70B small nucleolar RNA, C/D box 70B
AAAACUGUUGUCAAUGAUGUUUCUGUUGAUCUGACUAUAGUAUGAGGACAAAAAUCAGUAAUUCGUCACUACCACUGAGACAACAGCCUU